GAUUCAGGGUGCACCAGGCUGUCUUGGCAGUGUUUGAUGACACUCGAGCCCCCAAGAGGAACCGGUGUUAAGAGUUUCCCUUCAAGAUGAUUGGACUGCUCUACCCAGCUUUGUUGAGGUGAGUGAGUCUGCUGAUGAAUUCUCGAUGUCACAUUGCCCAUAAAAAUAUUUAAUAGGCUUUCAUUCAUGAUUUAUGAAUAAGGAAAUUGCUUUUUGCCACUGCCAUUUCAAGACGUGAUGGACUGCCAGUUCAGACUCCACUCCAGUUCAGAGUGUUCUGUUCCCAUAGUCUCCUCUCUGAUGAGACCGUAGGUUUCUCAGCAGAGACAGGGUUCAAAGGAUGAGGCUUCUGUGCCACUGACUAGAUGCUCUCCCUGCCUUUGAGCCAACAGCACUGCUUUGUAGGCCCUUCCCCUUCUCCUCAUGCUUUUCUAACUCCGUACUCUCUUUCACAUACCCUUUCAGAGAAACACACGGAGUUUUCUGAAAUCAAAGCCUCUCUACCCCAUCUGGGUAGUUUAAAGAUAUUUCCUUUUUUAAUAAGGUCCUCCAGAAAUGCAUCUGUUGGUAGAUGAUACUAGUCAAGUUCCUUUUUAAUUUGCAAGCAGGCGGCUUUCCCUCAGUACAGUGUUGGGUUCUGCUGGGGAUGCAGAAGGGCCUACAAAGUACUUGCUAUCCUCAAAACUUUAAGAGACUUGGGAGUUCCCUGGUGGCACAGCAGGCCAGGAAUCCGACACUCACUGCUGUGGCUUGGGUUCAAUCCCUGUCCCAGGAACUUCUGCAUGCUGCGGGUGCAGCCAAAGCAAGAGACAGAGAUGAGUAGCAUUUAUCUAUACAUACAUUCAGUACACAACUAUUGAGUGCCUAUUGUAUACUGGGUAUUUGGGAAGCCAUUCAAGAGGUUUCCAAGAUCUGAGCUCUGGCCCUCAGGGCAGGGGAUAGGGAUCGAGUUUUGACAAAAGGGUCGCAAAUCCACAGAUGCCAUGAGCAUUGCCUGCACAUUGUCAUUCUCUUCUUCUCUGUGCAUUUAUUGGACAAAUAUUUCCUGAGCGUUCAUAUACAUGCCUCGUAGAAUUUUGUCUUAAACAAGUCUGUGUAUUUUCCAAAAGCAUUUGGAUGCAGUUGUAAUUGAUAAACCAUAAAUCCAUUUAAAAGAUUCCAUGAAUUUGUUAUGUCCCGUUGUCAUCGAGUAGGUUCUCAGUCAAUAGAUGUCAGGAGGUCAUUAUCCUUGUGGGGCUGCACAGAAAGAGUUAACAUUGUAAAAUGCUUCCUUGUACUGGAAACUCUGGGGACUUCUGCAAGAGAAGGCUAACACAGGGCACUUGGCAAUACCCAAUGUGGGGUUUGUAGGAGAGCAGCCAAAAGUGUACAUGCAGAAAACCUGGGAGAUGUGGGGAGAAGCACAGAAGGGCAUCAAUCCCAAGUUUAAGCAGCUCUUAACCAUGUCAGUGUGCGUUCUAGAAAGGACGUUACUCUAGUUAUGCCUGUAAAGUCCUUUUAAGAGUAAUUAAUGUCACAUUAAAUUAUUUUAUAUAAUGAGUAUAUAUUACAUUAACUACUUAAUAAAUAGAGGGAGUUCCUGUUGUGGCUCAGCAGGUUAAGAACCUGACAUUGUGUCCAUGAGGAUGCGGGUUCGAUCCCUGGCCUCACUCAGUGGGUUAGGGAUCUGGCGUUGCUGCAAGCUGUGGCAUAGGUCACAAAUGCCGCUCAGAUCUGGCAUUGCAGUGGCUGUGGCAUUGGCUGGCAGCUGCAGCUCCAAUUCGACCCCUAGCCCGGGAAACUUUCAUAUGCUUCAGGUGCAGCCAUAAAAAGAAAAAUAAUAUUAAAACAUAAAUCUAGCACAUCCAAAUCUUCACCUCACUGAACAAUGCUGAUUAUUUAGCUACAUUUCUAUACUUCAAGGUUUUCAAAAUCAGAAUAUACUGUAUUAUCUGUGCCCAUGUUUCUUUAUCCUUUUCCAAGUUCUUUCCCUACCCAUUGAUUGAAUGUCAUCAAAUCUCUGAAAUGUAGACAGGACAGAAAUCGUGAUUCCCCAUUCUUUUGUUUUUUCUUACAGUUUUAUUGCUAUGUGAUAGACAGACAGCACUGUAUGAGUGUAGGGGGUGCGGCAUAAUGAUUUGACUCACAUACAUCAUGAAAUGAUGACCAUGAUAAGUUUAGUGAUUAUACAUCAUCUCACACAGAUGCAACAUUAAAGAAAUAGAAAAAAAGUGUUUUCGGAGUUCCCGUGGUGGCUCAGUGGAAAUGAAUCUGACUAGCAUCCAGGACGCAUGUUCAAUCCCUGGCCUCACUCAGUGGGCUGAGGAUCCAGCGUUGCCAUGAACUGUGGUAUAGGUCAUAGACGUGGCUGGGAUCUGGCGUGGCUGUGGCUGUGGCUGGCAGCUGCAGCUCUGAUUUGACCCCUAGCCUGGGAACCUCCAAAUGCUGCAGGUGCGGCCCUAAAA
rnacentral:lncRNA from 1 species